rnacentral:rRNA from 1 species
AAUUCGCCCUUAGAGUUUGAUCCUGGCUCAGAAUCAACGCUGGCGGCGUGCCUCAGACAUGCAAGUCGAACGCGAAAGCCCCCUUCGGGGGGCAAGUAGAGUGGCGCACGGGUGAGUAACACGCAGGUAAUCUACCUUUGGAUGGGGAAUAACAACCGGAAACGGUUGCUAAUACCGCAUAAUGCAGCGGCACCUAAUGGUGACAGUUGUUAAAGCGGGGGAUCGCAAGACCUCGCGUCUGAAGAGGAGCCUGCGGCGGAUUAGCUGGUUGGUAGGGUAACGGCUUACCAAGGCGAUGAUCCGUAGCCGGCCUGAGAGGGCGGUCGGCCACACUGACACUGACAUACGGGUCAGACUCCUACGGGAGGCAGCAGUCGGGAAUUUUGGGCAAUGGGCGAAAGCCUGACCCAGCAACGCCGCGUGAAGGAUGAAAUCCCUCGGGAUGUAAACUUCGCAAGAACGGGAAGAAUAAGUCCGUGCUAACACCACGGAUGAUGACGGUACUGUUUGUAAGCUCCGGCUAACUCCGUGCCAGCAGCCGCGGUAAUACGGGGGGAGCAAGCGUUGUUCGGAUUUACUGGGCGUAAAGGGCGCGUAGGCGGCCACCGCAAGUCAGUUGUGAAAGCUCUGGGCUUAACCCAGAAAGGUCAACUGAUACUGCGGGGCUAGAGUGCAGAAGGGGCAACUGGAAUUCUCGGUGUAGCGGUGA